rnacentral:rRNA from 1 species
CCUACGGGAGGCUGCAGUGAGGAAUAUUGGACAAUGGGCGCGAGCCUGAACCAGCCAAGUAGCGUGAAGGAUGACUGCCCUACGGGUUGUAAACUUCUUUUAUAAAGGCAUAAGGUGAGGCACGUGUGCCUUUUUGUAUGUACUUUAUGAAUAAGGAUCGGCUAACUCCGUGCCAGCAGCCGCGGUAAUACGGAGGAUCCGAGCGUUAUCCGGAUUUAAUGGGUUUAAAGGGAGCGUAGAUGGGUGGUUAAGUCAGUUGUGAAAGUUUGCGGCUCAACCGUAAAAUUGCAAUUGAUACUGGCAGGCUUGAGGACAGUUGAGGUAGGCGGAAUUCGUGGUGUAGCGGUGAAAUGCGUAGAUAUCACGAAGAACUCCGAUUGCGAAGGCAGCUUACUAAACUGCCACUGACAUUGAGGCUCGAAAGUGUGGGUAUCAAACAGGAUUAGAUACCCGUGUAGUC